rnacentral:rRNA from 1 species
ACGGGGCUUAAGUCUUGUAUUGGAAUGAUGGGAAUUUAAACCUCUUCCAGAGAAAAAUUGGAGGGCAAGUCUGGUGCCAGCAGCCGCGGUAAUUCCAGCUCCAAUAGCGUAUAUUAAAAUUGUUGCAGUUAAAAAGCUCGUAGUUGAAUUUCUGCUGUAUUGCAUUUUCUCUUUUUAUAUGAGUUUUUGCAUUAUGGCUUAUUUCAGUAUUAAUUUUUUAUUAUUACUGAAUGUUUACUUUGAGAAAAUUAGAGUGCUCAAAGCAGGCUUUUGCCUUGAAUAGUUUAGCAUGAAAUAAUAAAGUAGGACUUUGGUUCUAUUUUGUUGGUUUUAGGUACCAAAGUAAUGGUUAAUAGGAACAGUUGGG